GAUAAGGGGUUGGUGCAGGUUUUCAAGAAUGCAGUGAAUUACAAAAAUUGCCCCCUAGCACACUCAAAAAACAGGAUGUUGAACUCGGUAGUUUCCCAGUAGGCCUCCAAGGCAAGUGAAAUGCCGUGGAAUCAGCAUGACAAACCGAUCCUUCUUAAGAUACCUCCAUGAAGAUCUGUGGGAAAAGAGGGGACAAGAUGAAGGUGGUCCCUGUCCUGGUCCUCCUCUCUCUGAUAGGGAUUUUCAAGGACGUUCAAACACAAACAACAGUAACUUCCUCAGGUCCAACUCAAACAUCUGUUUCUGUAUCCGCCACAACACCAGCUUUAUCAUCAUCAGCCCCCUCAGGCUCCACCACAUCCCCAGAUCAACCAUCAUCAUCCAACCCCACCACAAUUACAUCUCAAACACCAACCUCAACACUAGAAUUGACUGCAUUAUCUUCAGCCUCAACCUCAAUACUACAAACCACCCUAACACCAGCUUUAACAGCAGCCUCUACCUUAGGCUCCACCUCACCACCAGCACAACCAUCAACAUCAGAACUCAUCACAGCAUCACCUCAAACAUUCACUUCAACAUCACAGUCUACGGCACAAUCUUUAUCCUCAGACUCAGUGACAAUCACAACACAGGCUUCAUCGUCUGACUCUACCUUCCCUUCAUCUACACGAGCAGAUCCAACUCCAACAUCUGUUUCUAUAUCCGCCACAACACCAGCUCUAUCAUCAUCAGCCCCCUCAAGCUCCACCACAUCCCCAGAUCAACCAUCAUCAUCCAACCCCACCACAAUGACACCUCAAACAUCAACCUCAACACUAGAAUUGACUGCAUUAUCUUCAGCCUCAACAUCAAUACUACAAACCACCACAACACCAUCUCUAACAGCAGCCUCUACUUUAGGCUCCACCACACCACCAGAUCAACCAUCAACAUCAGAACCCAUCACAGCAUCACCUCAAACAUUCACUUCAACAUCACAGUCUACGGCACAAUCUUUAUCCUCAGACUCAGUGACCAUCACAACACAGGCUUCAUCGUCUCUCUCUACCUUCCCUUCAUCUACACCAGCAGGUCCAACUCCAACAUCUGUUUCUGAAUCCGCCACAACCCCAGUUCCAUCUACACCAAAUUUAACAGCAACAUCAGCAAAUCUAGAAACAAACGCCACAGCACUCACAUCCACAAAUGGAGUGUUCAAGCAAUCAUCAACUCAAGCUGCCACAACAAUGAUGGAAAAUGCAACUUCAGCCCCAGCAUCACAGCCCAACACAACAGCUGCAACAAUGACACCAACAGCAGGAGUGUUCAAGCAAUUGCCAACUCAAGCUCCCACAACAAUAAUGGAAAAUGCUACUUCGGCCCCAGCAUCACAGCCCAACACAACAGCUGCAACAAUGAUACCAACAGCAGGAGUGUUCAAGCAAUCAUCAACUCAAGCUGCCACAACAAUGAUGGAAAAUGCAACUUCAGCCCCAGCAUCACAGCCCAACACAACAGCUGCAACAAUGACACCAACAGCAGCUCCCCAAACAACUGCGGCUCCACAGCCUGCUCCAGUCACAGCAGCAUCUAUCCCCGAGCCAGAAGUCAAACUGGAAUUCAAACUGGAGCAGACGUUCACACCACAACUGCAGAACACCUCUUCAACAGCAUUUAAAAGCUUGGCUACUAAACUGUCUUCAGCGCUGGAUAAAGUUUAUUCUGUGCAGUUUGGAUCCCGUUUCAAUCGCACAGAAAUCAAAGGCUUC
rnacentral:lncRNA from 1 species